AAGAUCCCAUGUUUAUCAAUAAAACUGUCCAAUCUGGUGGAAAAUAUCUUCUCCAGAAUUUUAGAAAAUUGGGGAAGCAAUGAAAUUGGCCUAUAAUUACAAGUUAACUUUACAAGUGACAACAUGUAACAUCAUUGGUCACUGCAGAGAAAACAGAUAACCCAUAUUGGACUUCUUCAUUGCUGACCUGAACUGUUUUAUUAUUUUUGCUCUGUUUCUUAAGCAAUAUUUUGUCUUUUACACGUCUGAGUGGUGCUACGGAUAUAGAGAGAAAGAAAUGGUUGCUCCUUGCCUCUCUCUGUUUUAUUUUUUCAUUGUCCUUAUCUAUCUCUGGGGAUACCUAUUACUGGAAUGGAUAUUCCAGUCCAGCGUUCCCAAUGUCAUGUAAAUCACAAAAGGGAACGUGUGCAUUUGACUGUUCACUAAAUGUCACAUGUUGCCUAUUCUUCCCUUCUGACACCGUUGACUUGGUUUGUUUGUCUAGUCUCAUGACGUUAUAUGACAAUUUUACCACUGUCUCUUGUGUGCUCCAUGACGACUCCCAUUUUAAAAGUAGAAGCAAUGAAUCGUACAAGAAAUCAGUUAAGAUAAAAUGUCUAAUUGCUUUAUUACUGUUGAUGUCAGGAAAUGUGCAGCCAAACCCAGGCCCAGACACCCCUAUAGGCUUUAACACCCCGGCAGAAUUUAAAGAAAGAUCAGGUCUUGGUUUCUUUCACUUGAAUGUACGCAGUCUUGUUCCUAAAAUGGACAUGUUGCGUAUCUGGGCUCACUCUACAGAUUCCGAUGUAAUUGUCUUGUCUGAAACCUGGUUAAGUAAAUCGGUUUCAGAUAAAGUAAUCAAUAUAAGCGGUUAUAAUGUUUUUAGGACUGACCACCCUAAUAGAGGUGGGGGUGUAGCAAUCUAUAUCACAAAUCAGUAUCAUGUUAAUGUAUUGCGGUCAGUAUCAUUAGUUAAACAGUUUGAAUUUUUAGCAUUGGAGCUUGAAAUCUCUAAAUCACUUCGUAUAAUGGUCAUUGGUUGUUACAGGACUCCUUCAGCUGUUAAUGGUGCUCUGCCCUCCUUAAUGCAACUCCUUUCGGAUUUUAACUCUAAGGAAUUAGUAGCCUUCGGAGACCUAAAUUGGAAUUGGUUACAACCAAUAUCUGAUGACUUUAGAGCUAAUUGUGAUUCACUAAAUCUCUUCCAGAUUGUUGACAGUGCCACACGGCCAAAUUUAAAAAACCCGGAAAAAUCAUCUCUAUUAGAUGUAAUUUUAACUAACGUUCCUCAUAAGUAUUCAACUGCUUCCAUAUUUGCAAACGACAUCAGUGACCACUGUGUCAUAGCUACAGUUAGAAAUAUUAAAAUAUCAAAAACCAAACCAUGUAUUAUAGUCAAGCGUAAUA
rnacentral:lncRNA from 1 species